GUUUGUUCUGAUACCUGCAAGGCAAGGCAAAUCCUCUUGCACUGUUAUUUAUUAUUUUACAUAGUGUGUGUGUGUGAUGCUGGGGAUUGAACCCAGGGCCUUGUGCAUCCAAGGCAAGCACUCUACCAACUGAGCUAUAUCCCCAGCCCACUUUUUUUUUUAAGGCAUCUAUUCUUCCAUAUAAACAUUGAAAUCAUUGCCCUUUAUUUGGAAUUAAUUUGGGGAGGUUUGACAUUUUUAUGACAGUAUGUCUUCCCAUCUAAGAGCAUGGUCCUGUUUUUCCAUUUGUUCAGAUCCUGUGUUGCAUCCUUUCACAAGAUUGUAUAGCUUUCUUCAUAUAGACUUUGUCUUUCUUGUUAAAUUUAUUCCUGUGUUAAAAUUCUUGCCAAUAUCAUUAUUUCCUUCCGUUUCUCUGUUGUAUAAACUGAAAAAGGUAAUUGAUUUUUUGUAUAUUUAUCUUGUAUCCAAGAACCCUAUUGAUUUUUCUUAAAAUCAAUAUUCUUUUGUUUUGCUAGAGGCCCUGGGUCUUCUGGGCCUAUAGUCAUUGAAUUGCUUUGUUGACAAUUCCCCUGACCUUCUCACCACAGUGUCACCUGCCUUUCGCCAUUUUUCUCCUUACCCAGCCUGCAUCCAGGUUUCAGGGACUCCCACUGUUCACCACAGAGCUCCUUCUCCCACGACCUUCCUUCCAAGGGUGGCUCCCUGGUUUGCAGAGGCAGGGUAGAGGGCUCCGCAUCCUUGCUGCUUGAUUCUGUUGAAUGAGUUUGUUCCCCCUCGUUGGAAUUCUGUUUUCCUCUUUGACCAAAGGUUGAAGACUGGUGGCCUAUGAGCCAUAUUUAGCCUUCAGACAUGCUUUAUUUGGCCCACACAGUAGUUUAUAAAAAUUGUUUUUGAUUACUUUCCAACAUUUAAAAAUUGGAAUAGUUGUUUUAUAUGGGAACACAUAAAAAUCUGGAGUCCUGAUUUUUCUUCAAACUCUGGAAAAACUGAGAAUCUGGGUCCUCAGCAGGAACUGUGAAACUGCCUCUCCCACCUGGACAGUGAAAGGGAGGGGGUCAGCCUGUCCCCUCUCCACCCCCAGCACCCGACACACAUCCUGGCUCACAUAGGGAUCAGGAAAGUUUAAUUGCUUUCCUUCAGUAUCAUGAAGAAGUUUUGAAGAAAUGUGAGUUAGCCCACACCAUAAGCAUUCUGAAUUUUCUUGUGCCACCGACCCCUCGGCAGUCUGGUGAAGACAGUGGACCUCUUCUCAGGAUAAGAAAAUCACACAAGAUUACAAAGGAGACCAAUUCUAUUGAAUGCAGUCAUCGAAAUAUUAAAACAUAAGUUAGAAUCUAGACAUACAUGUUUUUUAUUAGCAUAUUCCCAAACAAGACCUAGUGGCAGUCCUAACAACUACUGUAAUUAUGUAGUUCUGAUGAAAAUGAAUGAUAUUUUGAAAGCUCUGCCCCAAUCAUAACAAGGCAUGAAAUCAUCUGUGAUUUCUGCUGGUGACAGGACUGCUAAAGUCACAGGUACUGCUAAUACUCCAGGGACCUGUGGCCUAUAUUCAAGAUGGAGAGAGUGAUUACGUUUCAAUGAGAGGCUUAUGGUGAAAAUAAAGAUGAAAUUUUUUCUCAACCAAAUUCACAGACCACAGGAAUUCUACCACUGGGGUCCUGUGGAUCUCAGAUUAAACCUCUAUUUCAGGAGAAGGUGCUAAUGGCAAUGAGAACUGAGUCACAAAGAAACACAAUUUGGUAGAAACUGCCCAGUCCUGGGUGUUGUCAUUUAGGGCAGGGUUGGGGUGUGAAUUAGAUCACCUUUUCUGGAGGUCUCUUUGGCAAUACGUUCUAAGAAUCUUAAAUAUGCCCAUCUGCUUUAAUCCAACAAUCUGUUUCUAGGAACUUAUCCUAAGGAAAUAAAAAUGUGGCCAAUAAAAAAAAAAUUGAGUGUGAGAAUUUUUAUCAUAGCCAAAGAACACAUCCAGCUUUUGUGGAGCCUGAAGUUUACACAAUUUAGGGCCCCCUUUAACACAGAGGAUACAAAAUUGUAAAUAUAAAAUUGCUAGAUUCUUACCAAGCAUUUGAAAAGGUCUUGUGCAAAGGAAG
rnacentral:tRNA from 1 species